GAUGAACGCUAGCUGAACGCCUAACACAUGCAAGUCGAACGAGAAACUCUCUUCGGAGAGCGGAAAGUGGCAAACGGGCGAGUAACGCGUACUUAACCUACCCCAGAGUCGUGGACAACUAUGGAGACAUAGCUAAUCCCCGAUACGCUCUAAAGGCUGUAAUGCCUUAUGAGGAAAGAUUUAUCGCUCAGGGAGGGAGGUGCGUCCUAUCAGGUAGUUGGUGAGGUAAAAGCUCACCAAGCCGAAGACGGGUAGCCGGUCUGAGAGGAUGUCCGGCCGCAAUGGAACUGAGACACGGUCCAUACCCCUACGGGGGGCAGCAGUGGGGAAUAUUGCACAAUGGGCGAAAGCCUGAUGCAGCGAUUCAGCGUGGAGGAUGAAGCAUUAAGGUGUGUAAACUCCUUUUCUGGUGGAAGACGAUUGACGGUACACCAGGAAUAAGGGACGGCUAACUAUG
rnacentral:rRNA from 1 species